CAGCCGCCGCGGUAAAACAGAGGGUGCGAGCGUUAAUCGGAUUUACUGGGCGUAAAGCGUGCGUAGGCGGCUUCUUAAGUCGGAUGUGAAAUCCCUGAGCUUAACUUAGGAAUUGCAUUCGAUACUGGGAAGCUAGAGUAUGGGAGAGGAUGGUAGAAUUCCAGGUGUAGCGGUGAAAUGCGUAGAGAUCUGGAGGAAUACCGAUGGCGAAGGCAGCCAUCUGGCCUAAUACUGACGCUGAGGUACGAAAGCAUGGGGAGCAAACAGGAUUAGAUACCCGGGUAGUCCCUGUCUCUUAUAC
rnacentral:rRNA from 1 species